AUUGAACGCUAGCGGGAUGCUUUACACAUGCAAGUCGAACGAGUGGCGGACGGGUGAGUAAUAUAUCGGAACGUGCCCAGUAGCGGGGGAUCACUACUCGAAAGAGUGGCUAAUCCCGACUACUAUUGGAUCUGCCGCUAUCGGAUUAGCUCGUUGGUGGGGUAAAGGCUCAACAAGGCGACGCUCCGUAGCUGGUGUGAGAGGACGACCAGCCACACUGGGACUGAGACACGGCCCAUAUUCCUACGGGAGGCAGCAGUGGGGAAUGUUGGACAAUGGGGGAAACCCUGAUCCAGCCAUCCCGCGUGUAUGAGAAGGCCUUCGGGUUGUAAAGUACUUUUGGCAGAGAAGCGGUAUCUGCAGAAUAAGCACCGGCUAACGACGUGCCAGCAGCCGCGGUAAUUC
rnacentral:rRNA from 1 species